UACGGGGGGGGUAAGCGUUGUUCGGAAUUACUGGGCGUAAAGGGCUCGUAGGCGGCCAACUAAGUCAGACGUGAAAUCCCUCAGCUUAACUGGGGAACUGCGUCUGAUACUGGAUGGCUUGGAUUCGGGAGAGGAAUGCGGAAUUCCAGGUGUAGCGGUGAGAUGCGUAGAUAUCUGGAGGAACACCGGUGGCGAAGGCGGCAUCCUGGACCGACACUGACGCUGAGGCGCGAAAGCUAGGGUAGCAAACGGG
rnacentral:rRNA from 1 species